rnacentral:piRNA from 1 species
UGAGUUGCAGAGGGAUCAGGUUUGCUGGA